AACGAACGCUGGCGGCAUGCCUAACACAUGCAAGUCGAACGAGACCUUCGGGUCUAGUGGCGCACGGGUGCGUAACGCGUGGGAACCUGCCCUUAGGUUCGGAAUAACUCCCCGAAAGGGGUGCUAAUACCGGAUAAUGUCUUCGGACCAAAGAUUUAUCGCCUUUGGAUGGGCCCGCGUUGGAUUAGCUAGUUGGUAGGGUAAAAGCCUACCAAGGCGACGAUCCAUAGCUGGUCUGAGAGGAUGAUCAGCCACACUGGGACUGAGACACGGCCCAGACUCCUACGGGAGGCAGCAGUGGGGAAUAUUGGAAAAUGGGCGAAAGCCUGAUCCAGCAAUGCCGCGUGAGUGAUGAAGGCCGUAGGGUUGUAAAGCUCUUUUACCCGGGAUGAUAAUGACAGUACCGGGAGAAUAAGCUCCGGCUAACUCCGUG
rnacentral:rRNA from 1 species